GGGGAGAGGGGGCUUCUCUGAAGUAUGGAGAUAAAAGCAGACCCGCCUGGGAACCAGAGAGAAUUGAGGCCGUCUAAACAGGAAGGGAGGAAGGAGAGAGGAAGAGACAGGGCACAGGGGAGACUAGGGGUGAAAAAGCAACCGCUAAGGGAGAGUCUGACGCAGGGGUGAGGGGUGGAGAUGAGGAAAGGGAGCUUGGAAGAGAAAUUGAGGAAGGACGGGUCAGUGGGAAGACUGAAGGCUAUUGCAGGACUUGAACUAAGAGGUCACCUCUCUGGGCAAUGAAAGAACCGGCACCUGCCUCUGUGAAAUCAUCUACCAUAUUGGCUUGUGAUCAUGCUGACCCAGCUUUCCCUCUGGACUGCCAGCUUUCUGAGGGGCAACUCUGGCUAUUCAGUCAUCUCUCUGUACCUGCUAGUGCCUGGCCCGGAGGAGGGCUUGUUUGAAUGAAUAAAUGGAUUCACUGAGGAGCUGGGAUUUGAACCUAGAAACCAUGGAGAAACGUGAAAACUCAAAUGUGCCCCGAACCAGUCUCAACCCCCAAGUCAAGGAAUGCAAAAGGUCUUGAAGUCGUUUUCUUUCUGGAUUUCUGGCUGCAAUCCAGUGACACCUGACGGGGGUGGCGAGGGGGAUCCUGAUAGCUGAUUGGCCGCGGCAAGGAUCCUGAAGGAGGCCGCGGUCUGCCAGUGCACCCAGGCCCCAGCUGUGACUCAGCCGCCGCUCUCCAGCACCGGGAGAGGGAACUCUCCGCCCGCCCGCGGACCCACCCCCGGCGCGAGCCGUGACGUCUCCCGGAAUUCACAGCUGCCCUCUCUCCCCGCUGGGCUCCCCCCAUCGGCACGCAGGAGGCUCUUCUGUCGCAGGCGGGAGCUGAGAGCAAACUGCCGGGGUCGUGCACGACUCCCCGGGGCUUCCCGCAGAAGCUGAUUGGCAAGGGGGGGUGGGGUGGGGUUCCGGCAGCCGUUGGUAACCCCCGCCCUGUCCCCUCCGCCUCCGCCCCAGUAAGAGAGGGCUGUAAAAUUCCGGAAGAGAGAUUAGAGGCAGGGGAUGGGUGGGGCAGUGAAUCAGUACAUUCCUUUCUCCCCCUGCCUCCUCCUGCCCUGUUAUCACUUUGGGUGGGUUGGGUCCUCUUAUGGCCUUCUCCUGACCGGUCCACUGGCAGGGUCCAGACAAGCUAAGCAGUGCUGGGCGGGAACCUCCCAAACUCAGCUGAACUUUGUAGAGCCUGGAUCACUUACUUUGCAGUUCAUGACCCCAUUUGGUUUCGGGUUGGGGAAUUUUGGUCCUUGCUUCCAACUGGGUCCCUUCCACAAGAGUAGUUCUUAGGCCUGUCUGUGCAUUUGUUAGUAGCUCCCAUUAAUUGAGCAAGCUCUUGCUCCGAGGCAAGGUCUGUGCUAGGUCAAUCAGUCUUAUGUUCCUAAAACUUUGCAAGGUAGGCAUACCUUCUCUCCUGUUAGAAGCCAGGACUCUGAAAGCUCAGAGAGGUUAGGUAACUUGCUCAAGGUCACACAGUGGCAAAGCCAGGAGUAGUCCCAGCUCUAUUAGUUCCAUAAAUUUUCCACCACACUCCGUGGCUUCCUUUAGCACACUGAAAGGCAACACUUAUUAGGGGGUGGCGAAGUAACAUCUAUGGACCACUUCCCACUGUGCUAGGUACUUUAAAUAUAUUGUCUUUAAUCAUUUACUUUUUUCACAACAACCCCCUGAGAGAGAUACGAUCACCAUGCCCAUAUUACACAGGAGGAAACUUUCGUUAGGAAUUUCAGGGGCAGAGCUGGGAUUCCUGUACAGUCAUAGUACAAAGCCGCAGUUAAUGUUUGUAUAGUGCUUGACAGUUUCCAAAGCCCUUUCAAGAUCUUCAUUUCAGUCUAUCCCAUUUCACAG
ensembl:lncRNA